rnacentral:rRNA from 1 species
GAUGAACGCUGGCGGCGUGCCUAACACAUGCAAGUCGAGCGAUUCUCUUCGGAGAAGAGCGGCGGACGGGUGAGUAACGCGUGGGUAACCUGCCCUGUACACACGGAUAACAUACCGAAAGGUAUGCUAAUACGAGAUAAUAUGCUUUUGUCGCAUGGUAGAAGUAUCAAAGCUCCGGCGGUACAGGAUGGACCCGCGUCUGAUUAGCUAGUUGGUAAGGUAACGGCUUACCAAGGCGACGAUCAGUAGCCGACCUGAGAGGGUGAUCGGCCACAUUGGAACUGGGACACGGUCCAAACUCCUACGGGAGGCAGCAGUGGGGAAUAUUGCACAAUGGGCGAAAGCCUGAUGCAGCAACGCCGCGUGAGCGAUGAAGGCCUUCGGGUCGUAAAGCUCUGUCCUCAAGGAAGAUAAUGACGGUACUUGGGGAGGAAGCCCCGGCUAACUACGUGCCAGCAGCCGCCGUAA